CACACACAUGUCCACACAAACACACAAGGAUUCCCCAUCCUUGGUAGAAGAGGUGAUUGUGUGGGUAUGCAAAGAGGACCUGCCCUGAAGUCAGACACGGGAACAUCUACCACAGUCGGGGCUCUGCUCUUGUGGACUCUCUUCCACUCCAUCUCUUCCCUCUGCCCAGAACAGUAAGGGACAAAUGAGAGGAAGUGGCCUAGGGACAGCAGCUACGAGUGGCCUUCUACUGGAUUUAGGCUGUUCACGGCAGGGGUGACCCUACCCUGAGCCCUGAGAGGCAAACGAACAAGAAGCCACAGCAGUUACCACAGUUUGUCCUAUCCCUUAGCUCAGAUCAAAAGCGGCCUGUGCCCCAAGCCUUGGUCCAGCCCCGGAAGCAGGGCCACAUGGGAUUGAAGUGACUUCCUGAACAGGGGCCUUGGAAGGGCAGCCCCUUUGGCCAUCUCAUGGAGCCCCAGAGCAGAAGUGACUUCGGCAGAGCAGCUUUGAUGGCUUUGGAGGCGUGUGAGCACAGAGUGGAAGCCAAGGGACUAUCUUGGUCACAGGAGUAAUAAAAACCUGCCAAGACCGAACAGAACAGAUGUACGUAUGACAGGAAGUGCUUGCCCUGGAUCAGGGACCGCAGCCUUGAGUCAGGCAGGAAGUCAGGACUCACCUUGACAGUCCAUCAGAAGCUCGCUCUCCUGCACAUACUAAGAGAUGUCUGUUCUGGGUUCCAGGCAUUAUCCUCUGUCAAAGUUGUCCCUCGCCCUGCCAGAGGUGAUACCACCGAACACCUACUAAGUGCCUACCUACUGUGCAUAGCUCAGCAUCCCAUCACAGUGCCUAGGCACUUCUCUGCACUUCCUUCCACUCAACCUCUCAACAACCUGACAAAUGGGGAAUCUGAGGCACGAGACAUGGGAGUGCCCCAAGCCUUUGAGCCAGGAGCAUCAGGGCCCAAAUUCAAAUGCAGGUUGCCUGGCUUUUUGGUUUGGUUUGGUUUUGAGACAGCUUUUCCUAGAGCCCAGGUUGGUCUUGAUAAUGUAGCUGAGGAUGUCUUUGAAUUCUUGAUCCUCCUGCCUCCGUUUGUGAAGUGCCAGGACUACAGGCGUGUCAGGUUUUUGUGGUGCUAGGGACGGAACCCAGGCCUUCAUGCACACUAGGCAAGCACUUUACUGAGCUACACAGCUCCUGCCUUCGAUAGGGUUCUGAACCCCAACUCUACUGCAAGCCAUCUCCCAAUGCCCUGGGAAGGUAGAGACAGCAGGAAAUCUGCAGGCGAGCAAAACAACAAAGAGAAUGCCCAACUGGCCUGGGGCCCAAAGGCUGAAUCAGUGGCUUAUUGGUGCUCAUGAUUAUAGUGCAAGAGAGUUAAAGGUUGGGGUCCCCCUUUCAUCUCUGGAUGAGGUGACUGGGGAUUCAGACACUAAGGGCUUCUGAGACCCAAAAAUCAGAGGGUUCCACAGCAUGGAGUUAGGGGCUGUGGGGAGCCUGGGCACUGGAUGGAGGUCAGGCAGCACCCUGGGGCUGUGCUUGCUGUACCCAGAGCUGUAGGGUACAGAUGGCUGCUUUGGGACAAAGUG
rnacentral:lncRNA from 1 species